CCCUUAGAUGUUCUGGGCUGCACGCGUGCUACACUGAUAUUGCCAGUAUGUCAUUCUUAUCCGAAAUGGAUUGGGUAAUCAAGUAAUGAAAUUUCAUGCUUGGAAUCGGUAAUUGCAAUUUUAUCGUGAACGAGGAAUUCCUAGUAAGCACUAGUCAUCAGCUAAUGUUGAUUAUGUCCCUGCCCUUUGUACACACCGCCCGUCGCUACUACUGAUUGGGUGUUCAAGUGAGAUGCUUAGACCCUUGUUGCAUGGUUCAUUAUUGUGCUCCGAAAGGAAAAAGUUUCAAGCUUGAGUGUCUAGAGGAAGUAAAAGUCGUAACA
rnacentral:rRNA from 1 species